rnacentral:rRNA from 1 species
GACGAACGCUGGCGGCGUGCCUAAUACAUGCAAGUCGAGCGAACCUUUGGGAGCUUGCUCCUAAAGGUUAGCGGCGGACGGGUGAGUAACACGUGGGCAACCUGCCUAUAAGACUGGGAUAACUUCGGGAAACCGGAGCUAAUACCGGAUAAUUCUUUUCUACACAUGUAGGAAAGCUAAAAGACGGUUUACGCUGUCACUUAUAGAUGGGCCCGCGGCGCAUUAGCUAGUUGGUGAGGUAACGGCUCACCAAGGCCACGAUGCGUAGCCGACCUGAGAGGGUGAUCGGCCACACUGGGACUGAGACACGGCCCAGACUCCUACGGGAGGCAGCAGUAGGGAAUCUUCCGCAAUGGACGAAAGUCUGACGGGCAACGCCGCGUGAGUGAUGAAGGUUUUCGGAUCGUAAAACUCUGUUGUUAGGGAAGAACAAGUACGAGAGUAACUGCUCGUACCUUGACGGUACCUAACCAGAAAGCCACGGCUAACUACGUGCCAGCCGCCGCAGUAAG